rnacentral:rRNA from 1 species
GGCGAACGCUGGCGGCGUGCCUAAUACAUGCAAGUCGAACGAGAGCGACCGGUGCUUGCACUGGUCAAUCUAGUGGCGAACGGGUGAGUAACACGUGGGUAACCUGCCCAUCAGAGGGGGAUAACAUCCGGAAACGGAUGCUAAAACCGCAUAGGUCUUCGAACCGCAUGGUUUGAAGAGGAAAAGAGGCGCAAGCUUCUGCUGAUGGAUGGACCCGCGGUGCAUUAGCUAGUUGGUGAGGUAACGGCUCACCAAGGCCGUGAUGCAUAGCCGACCUGAGAGGGUGAUCGGCCACAUUGGGACUGAGACACGGCCCAAACUCCUACGGGAGGCAGCAGUAGGGAAUCUUCCGCAAUGGACGCAAGUCUGACGGAGCAACGCCGCGUGAGUGAAGAAGGUUUUCGGAUCGUAAAACUCUGUUGUUAGAGAAUAACAAGUGCUAGAGUAACUGUUAGCGCCUUGACGGUAUCUAACCAGAAAGCCACGGCUAACUACGUG